UACAGAGGUCUCGAGCGUUAGGCGGAAUCACUGGGCUUAAAGCGUGUGUAGGUGGAUCGUUAAGUACCUUGUGAAAUCCCACGGCUUAACCGUGGAACUGCUUGGUAUACUGGCGGUCUUGAGCCAGCUAGGGGCUACCGGAACAAAUGGUGGAGCGGUGAAAUGCGUAGAUAUCAUUUGGAACGCCAAUGGUGAAAACAGGUAGCUGGGGCUGUGCUGACACCGAGACACGAAAGCCAGGGGAGCAAACGGG
rnacentral:rRNA from 1 species